rnacentral:lncRNA from 1 species
AGAGCGUAAUAGAUCAUGUUUGUCACUGAUGAAAGCAUACCUGUGCCAUCCAUAAAUAUUGUAUAUAAAGAGCCUAUAACCUCUCUAACCCGCCUUUUAGUAGUCCAUGGCAUUGUAAGGUCUUGGGAUCUAAUUAAAACCUUAGUCCACUUCUGGUUUCAGUGAAUGAUCUUUGUACUGGGCCAUUAAUAAAACAAGGUAUGCUUAAAAGUUCUGAAAUGUAUGUAACUAAGUAUGUAAGGGUUCUUUCUUCACUGAGAACUGUUUAUGUCAUGUCUGUUGAAAGUAGCAUCAGCAGUGAAAGAAAACCAGCCCUGAGAGAACAGUAGAUGUGUCAUUUAAGUUAUUCCACAAAAACAAUGUAAGUUGGUUCCUGUGGUACAGCCAAGUUGGCUUAGUGUUCUGAAAUCUUCAAAUUCCUGCUUUAACAUGCCAUGGAAGACUCCUUUAUCCGUGGGCUCCAUACCACCGAUAGUGAGAGUUGAAAGUAAGAACUUCUUUGUUAAACAUUGGCUCACAGUCAUUCAGAUGUUUAAAAACAUUUAUUUGAAUUUUUCAUAAUCUAGCAAUUUUUCAUUUAGGCCUGUCUUGAUAGAAACCCUGAAGCUUUCUUACCAAAGAUUGGGAAAGGGAAACCAGGAGAAAUUAAACCUCACCAUAACAAAGGAUGUAAUUGCAAGCGUUCAGGAUGCCUCAAGAAUUAUUGUCAGUGCUUUGAGGCAACCAGCUGUACGGAUAUCUUUGGAAGAAGUGAAAGCGACGUGUGCUUGUCUCCUGGUGCAAGCUGAAGAGGCAGAAAAAAGAGGUUACUCUCUCCGUCUAGCUGAGCAGAUGAUCAUGGAGGAAUUUGGGAGAUGUUUAUCCCAGAUCCUACAUGCAUAGUUAAAAUUUAAAGAACUGAAAGUUGAAUAAUGUUCAAUGUAUUAUAAAGCAAAUAAGUAUUAAUAUUGAUAUAUGUUGCCAUAAUCUCCACAAUUUUGCUACUUUAUGAUCUUACUUUGAUUUUUCAUAGGAAUAGUUUCAUUAACUUCAGCUGAAUUAUUUCUGAGUUAUACUGGUGUAAGUGAAACCAGCGCCACAUCUGGCAUUUUUCCAAGUAACUUAGUACUGUAGAAAGCUUAUUAUAUUUUUUUCUAAAACAGAUUUUUCUCUGUAGUCAGUGCUUUCUGAGCUAAUUCUUCAGUAUUUACUUAGACUCUUAUUAAAAGUAAGUUUAACUUAAAAUGACUUUAUUGGAUGCUUAUGUAAGAAGAGAUGCAGUAAAAAUUGAGUAAGAAUUUCCUAUCUUAGUUUGGUUAUGUUAUGAAUUGUGAAACAAUUUCAUUUCCAGUGGUAGUAGACAUAUAUACCUAGGCAAAGUUUAGCUUUGGGUCAUCUCUGUUUUGAAAUCCAGUUUCUCUUAAAGCUUGGAUUAUCUUUUGUUUAAUUAUUCUUUUUUCUUAUGUGGAAGUUUUCUCUGUGACAUUUCUUCCUCUUCUCAUUCUCACCGUUGGGGUGAUAAUAAAUUUUCUCUAAUAGAAGUAAGCUAUUUGCUG